UAAAUGUUUAUUGAAUGACUGACUGAAAACCCAGAAGGACUGUAUUUGUCCCAGCUUUCUGGCUCACAAGCCUCCAUUGCACUAGUCCUUAUUAAGCCAGCCAAAACCUGGGUCAUGUUCCACCUGAAAGAAAAGCAAUAUCCAGUGGAGAGAGAGCUCUUAGAGUACAAUGACAGUGAAGUGUGUGUGAGGAGAACAUGUAGCAAAGGGAUAACUCAUAACUCUGGCACUUUCUGUCCUUUUCUUCCUUUGUAGAAUCCUCAUAAAGUUCCCUUCAGGAUAGCUUCCAGCUAGAUUCUGAGGGCUGAUUCCUUUCUAGAUGGCAUACUGGUACUCCUCUCCACUCUGAGAGGUCACACUCUUGAAGCAGCUGCCCUUCUCAGACAUAACAGGAAGGAUGCUCUGGAUGAUACAGCUGGUUCUGCAUGGAGACAAUAUAUAUGUCAAUGGGAAGGAGGCCACAAGGUCCAUGUAGAGUCCACAAAAUUUCCUCAGAAAGGUUCCACUGCAAUCUCUUUCUUGCUAUUUAGCAAGUUCUCCUAGGAGCUCCCUCAAUGGAACUGUGCAACCUGGCCUGCUUGGAGCCAAGAAGGAAUUGAUUUUUGUUCAUCCUUCAUUCUAGAAGAGGACCGCUGAUUUGGGGGGUGAUAUUUUGAUGUGCAAGUGAAUUGGAUUUAAGGAAGACAGAGCUGUGCAAAGUCAUCAGCCCAACCCUCUGCACCACAGUCAUCAGAGUUCUGAGCAACACAUAGGUCAGGACCACUGGAGGCAGCACCAGAUGGAGUAAAAGACCUUGACCUUUCUAAGCUAAGAUCCUUCCCAAGUUUCAGUUUCUCUGAGGCACCACCCAUUCAGUGAUUAAGUUUGGUAAGCAAUGAGGCAAAAGAUGGCCUACUGUGCCUUCACAAAAGAAUGCAUAUGAAGGUGGAAGACCUUCAGAAUUUCUGGCCAGAACAAAAGGUGCCUUUUAAGUGAGGAUAGGCCUGUACAGCUAAAACAAGUGAUAUCUGAAAGAAGUGACAUCAGUCAUUUAUAUCUUUGUUCAAAGUGAUCAGUUCCUAAGAACAAAAUCUGCCAGUCUUGCAAAAUUUCCUGGAUGAGAAGGGACAAAUGUAUAAUUCAAUCUGGGGAUUGCAUAAUACAUAAACAGGGAUUGUGUCUAGGAGGGCACACUUGAGUGAGAAGCUUAAUGACAAUCCCUUAGGUGGUAGAGAGCCACGAGGCAUCCCCUUCAAGAGGAAGGAAGGUGACAAAAAAUGUAGGUGAGGGGAAACGUCAAAAACGUGAGAGUUCUUGAAGACAAGCUUUAU